rnacentral:rRNA from 1 species
UGAUCCUGGCUCAGGAUGAACGCUAGCGGCACGCUUCAUACAUGCAAGUCGAGGGGCAGCAUAAAGUACUUGUACUUUGAUGGCGACCGGCGAACGGGUGCGUAACGCGUAUGCAACUUACCUUUUACUAGAGAAUAGCCAAGAGAAAUUUUGAUUAAUGCUCUAUACACUUCUUAACUCACAUGAGUUUUUAAGAAAAGCUCCGGCGGUAAAAGAUGGGCAUGCGUCCUAUUAGCUUGUAGGUGAGGUAACGGCUCACCUAAGCUCCGAUAGGUAGGGGUCCUGAGAGGGAGAUCCCCCACACUGGUACUGAGACACGGACCAGACUUCUACGGAAGGCAGCAGUAAGGAAUAUUGGACAAUGGAGGAAACUCUGAUCCAGCGAUGCCGCGUGAAGGAAGACGGCCCUAUGGGUUGUAAACUUCUUUUAUACAGGAAGAAACCUUUCCACGUGUGGAAAGCUGACGGUACUGUAAGAAUAAGGAUCGGCUAACUCCGUGCCAGCAGCCGCGGUAAUAUGGAGGAUCCAAGCGUUAUCCGGAAUUAUUGGGUUUAAAGGGUCCGCAGGCUGUUUGUUAAGUCAGAGGUGAAAUCCUACCGCUCAACGGUAGAACUGCCUUUGAUACUGGCAAACUUGAGUUAUUGUGAAGUAGUUAGAAUGUGUAGUGUAGCGGUGAAAUGCAUAGAUAUUACACAGAAUACCAAUUGCGAAGGCAGAUUACUAACAAUUAACUGACGCUGAGGGACGAAAGCGUGGGUAGCGAACAGGACUAGAUACCCUGGUAGU